rnacentral:rRNA from 1 species
UACGUAGGGUGCGAGCGUUGUCCGGAAUGACUGGGCGUAAAGGGCGCGUAGGCGGUUUGUACAGUCAGAUGUGAAAUUCCCGGGCUCAACCUGGGGGCUGCAUUUGAUACGUGCGGACUUGAGUGGGGAAGAGGGUCGUGGAAUUCCCAGUGUAGAGGUGAAAUUCGUAGAUAUUGGGAAGAACACCGGUGGCGAAGGCGGCGACCUGGUCCUUGACUGACGCUGAGGCGCGAAAGCGUGGGGAGCAAACAGG